CAGCAGUAGCCGCGGUAAUACAGAGUGUGCGAGCGUUAAUCGGAUUUACUGGGCGUAAAGCGUGCGUAGGCGGCUUUUUAAGUCGGAUGUGAAAUCCCUGAGCUUAACUUAGGAAUUGCAUUCGAUACUGGGAAGCUAGAGUAUGGGAGAGGAUGGUAGAAUUCCAGGUGUAGCGGUGAAAUGCGUAGAGAUCUGGAGGAAUACCGAUGGCGAAGGCAGCCAUCUGGCCUAAUACUGACGCUGAGGUACGAAAGCAUGGGGAGCAAACAGGAUUAGAUACCCCAGUAGUCCCUGUCUCUUAUAC
rnacentral:rRNA from 1 species